rnacentral:tRNA from 1 species
GCGGAAGUGGUGGAACUGGCAGACACGCCGUCUUGAGGGGGCGGUGCCGAAAGGCGUGUGGGUUCGAAUCCCACCUUCCGCA